CGGGAAGAGCCCAAACCAACAAGCUUGCUUGUUGGGGUUGUAGGACACUCUAUACGGAGUUACAAAGGACGACAUUAGACGAAUCAUCUGGAAAGAUGAAUCAAAGAAGGUAAUAAUCCUGUAGUCGAAAAUGUUGUCUCUCUUGAGUGGAUCCUGAGUACGACGGAGCACGUGAAAUUCCGUCGGAAUCUGGGAGGACCAUCUCCUAAGGCUAAAUACUCUCUAGUGACCGAUAGUGAACCAGUACCGUGAGGGAAAGGUGAAAAGCACCCCGGAAGGGGAGUGAAAUAGAACCUGAAACCGUGUGCUUACAAGUAGUCAGAGCCCGUUAAUGGGUGAUGGCGUGCCUUUUGUAGAAUGAACCGGCGAGUUACGAUUUGAUGCAAGGUUAAGCAGUAAA
rnacentral:rRNA from 1 species